GGCUGCAACUCGCCUACAUGAAGUCGGAAUUGCUAGUAAUCGCGGAUCAGCAUGCCGCGGUGAAUACGUUCCCGGGCCUUGCACACACCGCCCGUCACACCAUGGGAGCCGGUAAUACCCGAAGUCAGUAGUCCAACCUCGUGAGGACGCUGCCGAAGGUAGGAUUGGCGACUGGGGUGAAGUCGUAACAAGGUAGC
rnacentral:rRNA from 1 species